CCUACGGGUGGCAGCAGUGAGGAAUAUUGGUCAAUGGGCGGAAGCCUGAACCAGCCAAGCCGCGUGAAGGAAGAAGGCGCAGAGCGUCGCAAACAUCUUUUGUCGGGGGACAAAAGGGAAGACUCGUCCCCUCAUGAGUGUACCCGAAGAAAAAGCAUCGGCUAACUCCGUGCCAGCAGCCGCGGUAAUACGGAGGAGGCGAGCGUUAUCCGGAUUCGUUGGGUUUAAAGGGUGCGCAGGGGGGGCUUUAAGCCGGCGGUGAAAUGGCGGGGCUCAACCCCGCCCGGCCGUUGAAACUGGGUGGCUAGAGUGUGGCAGAGGGAUGCAGAAUGCGAGGUGUAGCGGUGAAAUGCAUAGAUAUCGCGCAGAACCCCGAUUGCGAAGGCAGCGUCCCGGGCCCAGACUGACGCUGAGGCACGAAAGCGUGGGGAUCGAACAGGAUUAGAUACCCUUGUAGUC
rnacentral:rRNA from 1 species